rnacentral:tRNA from 1 species
GUUGUGGCUCAGAGGUAGAGAGCUUGCCUACCAUGCGUGAGGCACUGGGUUCAAUCCUCAGCACA